UGCGGAAUAUUGGUCAAUGGGUGCAAGCCUGAACCAGCCAUCCCGCGUGAAGGACGACUGCCCUAUGGGUUGUAAACUUCUUUUGUAUAGGGAUCAACCUACCCUCGUGAGGGUAGCUGACGGUACUAUACGAAUAAGCACCGGCUACCUCCGUGCCAGCAGCCGCGGUAAUACGGAGGGUGCAAGCGUUAUCCGGAUUUAUUGGGUUUAACGGGUCCGUAGGCGGACUUAUAAGUCAGUGGUGAAAGCCUGCCGCUUAACGAUAGAACUGCCAUUGNUACUGGAAGUCUUGAGUAUAUUUGAGGUAGCUGGAAUAAGUAGUGUAGCUGUGAAAUGCAUAGAUAUUACUUAGAACACCAAUUGCGAAGGCAGGUUACCAAGAUAUAACUGACGCUGAGGGACGAAAGCGUGGGGAGCGAAC
rnacentral:rRNA from 1 species